GACGAACGCUGGCGGCGUGCUUAACACAUGCAAGUCGAGCGGAGCGGCGAACGGGUGCGUAACGCGUGAGUAACUGCCCCCCUCUCUGGGAUAACAGUUGGAAACGGCUGCUAAUACCGGAUAGUGGGGGAUGACUCCCCUCCUGUCAGCUUGUUGGUGGGGUAGUGGCCUACCAAGGCGACGACGGGUAGCCGGCCUGAGAGGGCGACCGGCCACAUUGGGAUGGGAUACAGCCCAAAGUCCUACGGGAGGAAGCAUUGGGGAAUAUUGCACAAUGGGGGAAACCCUGAUACAGCAACGCCGCGUGAAGGAAGACGGUCUUCGGAUUGUAAACUUCUUUAGACAGGGACGCGGUACCUGUAGAAUAAGCCACGGCUAACUACGUGCCAGCAGCCGCGGUAAUAC
rnacentral:rRNA from 1 species